rnacentral:lncRNA from 1 species
GAGUCCGGACGAAGUUUACCUGUAAGUGAAGUCGUGGGCGGAGUCCGGCUCCCGUAGGAGUCCGGGCGAAGUCCACCUGCAGCCAGAGUCGGGAACGAAGUUCGGCUCCCGUAGGAGUCCAGAUGAAAUCUGGUAGUUGUAGGAAUCUACCGUUGGAGAAGUUCAGCCAUUGACGAAGUCCGGGCUAGUUCGGAUUGGAGUUGAACCUGGCUGGAAGAAGUCUGGAAGGGAUUCGGAGAACAGUUGAUAGUCAUAGAAAGUCGGUUGGCGGCG